rnacentral:rRNA from 1 species
AACGCUAGCUACAGGCUUAACACAUGCAAGUCGAGGGGCAGCAUGGUCUUAGCUUGCUAAGGCCGAUGGCGACCGGCGCACGGGUGAGUAACACGUAUCCAACCUGCCGUCUACUCUUGGACAGCCUUCUGAAAGGAAGAUUAAUACAAGAUGGCAUCAUGAGUCCGCAUGUUCACAUGAUUAAAGGUAUUCCGGUAGACGAUGGGGAUGCGUUCCAUUAGAUAGUAGGCGGGGUAACGGCCCACCUAGUCUUCGAUGGAUAGGGGUUCUGAGAGGAAGGUCCCCCACAUUGGAACUGAGACACGGUCCAAACUCCUACGGGAGGCAGCAGUGAGGAAUAUUGGUCAAUGGGCGAGAGCCUGAACCAGCCAAGUAGCGUGAAGGAUGACUGCCCUGUGGGUUGUAAACUUCUUUUAUAAAGGAAUAAAGUCGGGUAUGGAUACCCGUUUGCAUGUACUUUAUGAAUAAGGAUCGGCUAACUCCGUGCCAGCAGCCGCGGUAAUACGGAGGAUCCGAGCGUUAUCCGGAUUUAUUGGGUUUAAAGGGAGCGUAGAUGGAUGUUUAAGUCAGUUGUGAAAGUUUGCGGCUCAACCGUAAAAUUGCAGUUGAUACUGGAUAUCUUGAGUGCAGUUGAGGCAGGCGGAAUUCGUGGUGUAGCGGUGAAAUGCUUAGAUAUCACGAAGAACUCCGAUUG